GUAAUAGCUCACUGGUCGAGUCGGCCUGCGCGGAAGAUGUAACGGGGCUAAACCAUGCACCGAAGCUGCGGCAGCGACACUCAGGUGUUGUUGGGUAGGGGAGCGUUCUGUAAGCCUGUGAAGGUGGCCUGUGAGGGUUGCUGGAGGUAUCAGAAGUGCGAAUGCUGACAUAAGUAACGAUAAAGCGGGUGAAAAGCCCGCUCGCCGGAAGACCAAGGGUUCCUGUCCAACGUUAAUCGGGGCAGGGUGAGUCGACCCCUAAGGCGAGGCCGAAAGGCGUAGUCGAUGGGAAACGGGUUAAUAUUCCUGUACUUGGUGUUACUGCGAAGGGGGGACGGAGAAGGCUAUGUUGGCCGGGCGACGGUUGUCCCGGUUUAAGCGUGUAGGUGUGUGUUCCAGGUAAAUCCGGUUCACUUUAACACUGAGGCGUGAUGACGAGGCACUACGGUGCUGAAGCAACAAAUGCCCUGCUUCCAGGAAAAGCCUCUAAGCAUCAGGUAACAUCAAAUCGUACCCCAAACCGACACAGGUGGUCAGGUAGAGAAUACCAAGGCGCUUGAGAGAACUCGGGUGAAGGAACUAGGCAAAAUGGUGCCGUAACU
rnacentral:rRNA from 1 species